ACAACACCACAACUCAUUCAGGGGGCAUGAGCUCCUCGUUUUCAUUUCUCUUGAUUUCUCUUCACUGACCAUGGAGAGCACAGUGAAGUCUCACCGAUCAACUGAAGCAAGACCCUUCAAUUGUGUGCCUGUGAAUUCACACCUAUUUAUGAUUCAGAUGACCUGGUAACACUCGAUUGCAUUCUGAAUGGCUGCUGCAGGCUUCAUGUACCAUUCUACAUUUGGUCAGCUCCUAUGCCUCAGAUCUUAACAGUGCCUCCUCAGAUACAGCACAGCUGCCCCGAUUCCUCUCUCAAGAAUCUGAAAAGAUCUCCAGAAAGAAGGUUCUCCUACCAGCCCGUGCCUCUUCUCUUCCUACUCAGCCAAGAAAUGCUAGUUCUGCCUGCUGGAGCAAAAGUAAACCAACUGAAUAAUGCCUCUUUCACCAACGAAAUUAAAUAAGAUUAAGGACAAUGAGAAGAAGGAAAAG
ensembl:lncRNA